UUGUGGAUAUUGUGUGUGUGAAUGUUUCUGUAUCUGUGAUUACUUUUCUUGUUGGUAAAUUAGCUUUUGUGUGCAUUUUUAUGCAUUUUCACAUAAAAUCUCUUUUUAUUUUUACCUGAAAGCACAUUGGGUUGGUUUAAGCUUACGUUGUGCUUUACUAAUGGAGUGUGACUUGACUUGGUUUGUUUGGACACCUUGUUAUCAUUUCUGCUGCAGAUUCUCUGCUGAGAGAUCACUCGCAAGAGGGCCUCUUCAUUGGCGUCUUAAUGCAGGCUCUAGAACAGGGGUGUCAAAGAUGCGGCCCGCGGGCCGGAUCCGGCCCGCAAGCGGGUUAAAUCCGGCCCGCGAGAUGGUUGUGUAAACUUUAUUUUCAUACUUUACAAUGUAGAGUGAAAAUAAACGUAUCUUUGUGAGCAAGUUUUCUCUGUAAUUAGUAUAAAUAAAACAAAGCUGCGCUCAAGGCUCACACAAGAACUCGAAUCACAUCCUGAAGUUGGCCGCCACUCAGGAUGUGACUUCUGAUAUUGAUGUGCUGGUGAAAGCUAAAAGUAAAAUGAGUCAAAUAUACUUUAAGUGCUGCAUGAAACUGAUCUUGCCAUGUGAUCUGUAAGCUCUUUGAAUCACUAAGGAAUGUUUUUUUUAUUUGUUGAAUUUUUUUUUUUUUUUUCAAAUUUUCAAGUACACUUCAGGUGUUGUACUUGUACUACACUGUCCUCAGGCUCCAGCCUUGUUUUAUAUUGAUUGUAUUAAAACAAAGAAAACAAUCAGAUUUUUGUAUUUUAUUUACUGGUCCGGCCCACUUGGGACUAGAUUUCCCUCAAUGUGGCCCCUGAGCUAAAAUGAGUUUGACACCCCUGGUCUAGAACAUCACCGUGUGUUAUCGUCACCAUGAACAACCCCUGACAGGUGCUGACCAGGUGUAUACCAAGUCCCCUGCAGAAAACCCACUGACUCAUUCAUCUUGCCAGCAGCAUGUCGGAGACAUGGGUGAAAAAAAUGUGUUACUCAGACGUCCCAACCUCGGGGAGAAAAACGCUCUUCAGCCUUUGAAGCUGCUCAGAUCUUACCAAUUGGGCCUUUUUGUCAAACUUAAACAGUUCUUGUUCCAGAUUGUUGUGGAAGAUGUAAGAAUCUUCUUCACACACCAAUAAAACAAGCGGACACUUUUCAUCCUCCAGGCAAUAAUACGCCCAGUGUAAGAGGUGAUUUUUGCUGCUUCCACUUGCUUUUAGAGAAGAUGUUUUCUUUCAAAAGGGAAAUUGGGUUUCCUGAUUCCUAAAAUGAUGAACAAAAAGCACAACUUUUAUACUAUACACUCAAAAUUUCUAUUAUGGUAAGUUUUAUCAUUCUUCGAGCCAACACUUGUAGUUUUGGUCUCUGAUGGUCACACAUGGCUGCAAAAGAUAGGCUGUGUCUCAAUUCAGGGUCUGCAUCCUACGUCGGCCGGAUUCGUCGGCCGGUUACGUCACAGCGCCGCGACUCGGCCUGUCCCAAUUCGAAGACUCCUUCAAAUGCGGUCGACGAAUGCGGCCUUCUUUUCGCCUGAAUGAAGGAUGGGUCGGGUGUAUCCUUCAAUAGGUAGCAUUUCCCAAGAUGCCUUGCUAGCCGGCCAGCAGAAAAACUUAAAAACAAUGGGGGACAGUGAAGCGGGAGCUGUCGGAGAGGAUUGCGCAUAUAAAUGAACAAAAGAGAAAACCAGGGAAUUUAUUAAGCUUAGGGCGGAGAUGGACCACAUGAUCACCGGAGCAAAGUAUUCGGCGGCUGUGGCAUGGAGACUAUUCUGGAGAAAAUGGGCAUCCAGGGGAAGGUGCCAGCGAUGACCAGCUUCUGGAGCGGAUCUGGGAGGACAUGAGGCUGCAGAGGGAGGCAGAGCAGCAGAGGGCACAGGAGAGAAGGAAGAACUUUGACAGCUUUUUACUUUGCUAGAAAAAAAUGGUUAAUAAAGAUUAAACAUGUACAUAUAAAAGAAAUAUCUAAAUAAAAUCAGUUCUGCAUUAAA